rnacentral:rRNA from 1 species
AUGAACGCUGGCGGCGUGCCUCAUACAUGCAAGUCGAGCGAACGGACGAGAAGCUUGCUUCUCUGAUGUUAGCGGCGGACGGGUGAGUAACACGUGGAUAACCUACCUAUAAGACUGGGAUAACUUCGGGAAACCGGAGCUAAUACCGGAUAAUAUUUUGAACCGCAUGGUUCAAAAGUGAAAGACGGUCUUGCUGUCGCUUAUAGAUGGAUCCGCGCUGCAUUAGCCAGUUGGUAAGGUAACGGCUUACCAAGGCAACGAUGCAUAGCCGACCUGAGAGGGUGAUCGGCCACACUGGAACUGAGACACGGUCCAGACUCCUACGGGAGGCAGCAGUAGGGAAUCUUCCGCAAUGGGCGAAAGCCUGACGGAGCAACGCCGCGUGAGUCAUGAAGGUCUUCGGAUCGUAAAACUCUGUUAUUAGGGAAGAACAUAUGUGUAAGUAACUGUGCACAUCUUGACGGUACCUAAUCAGAAAGCCACGGCUAACUACGUG